CCUACGGGAGGCUGCAGUGAGGAAUAUUGGUCAAUGGGCGCGAGCCUGAACCAGCCAAGUCGCGUGAGGGAAGACGGUCCUAUGGAUUGUAAACCUCUUUUGUCGGGGAGCAAAAGACGCCACGCGUGGCGUUCCGAGCGUACCCGAAGAAAAAGCAUCGGCUAACUCCGUGCCAGCAGCCGCGGGAAUAUGUAGGGUGCGAGCGUUAAUCGGAAUUACUGGGCGUAAAGGGUGUGCAGGCGGGUUUGCAAGAUCGAUGUGAAAGCCCCGGGCUUAACCUGGGAAAGGCAUACAUGACUGCAAGACUAGAGUGCGGCAGAGGGGGGUGGAAUGCCAAGUGUAGCAGUGAAAUGCGUAGAUAUUUGGAAGAACACCGAUGGCGAAGGCAGCCCGCUGGGAAGCAACUGACGCUCAUACACGAAAGCGUGGGGAGCAAACAGGAUUAGAUACCCGGGUAGUC
rnacentral:rRNA from 1 species